CGGGGUGGAGGUAAUGCUUGGGAAUCUAGCUUAUGGAGGGGGAUAACUACGGGAAACUGUAGCUAAUACCGCGUAGAAUCGAGAGAUGAAAGUGUGGGACCUUCGGGCCACAUGCCAUAGGAUGAGCCCAAGUGGGAUUAGGUAGUUGGUGAGGUAAAGGCUCACCAAGCCGACGAUCUCUAGCUGGUCUGAGAGGGUGACCAGCCACACUGGGACUGAGACACGGCCCAG
rnacentral:rRNA from 1 species